GACGGUUUGGCCUGAGUGGUCUAAGGUGCCAGAUUUAGGCUCUGGUCCUGAAAGGCGUGGGUUCAAAUCUCACAGCUGUCA
rnacentral:tRNA from 1 species